AUACGGAGGAUGCGAGCGUUAUCCGGAUUUAUUGGGUUUAAAGGGAGCGUAGGUGGGAUAUUAAGUCAGCUGUGAAAGUUUGGGGCUCAACCUUAAAAUUGCAGUUGAUACUGGUUUCCUUGAGUACGGUACAGGUGGGCGGAAUUCGUGGUGUAGCGGUGAAAUGCUUAGAUAUCACGAAGAACUCCGAUCGCGAAGGCAGCUCACCGGGCCGGAACUGACUCUGAUGCUCGAAAGUGCGGGUAUCAAACAGGAUUAGAUACCCUGGUAGUCCGCACAGUAAACGAUGAAUACUCGCUGUUUGCGAUACACUGUAAGCGGCCAAGCGAAAGCGUUAAGUAUUCCACCUGGGGAGUACGCCGGCAACGGUGAAACUCAAAUGAAUUGGCGGGG
rnacentral:rRNA from 1 species